rnacentral:piRNA from 1 species
GCUAAAGGUCUUGAUGGAGA